CCAUUUUCACGCGUUAAUCCGCCCUGCUCAACAAACCACUGAUAACCAUCAUCGGCCAACAUUUGCGUCCACAGAUAAGCGUAAUAACCUGCAGCAUAUCCGCCACCAAAAAUAUGGGCGAAAUAACUGCUGCGAUAGCGUGGCGGUAUAGCAGGAAGAUCCAUAUUUUCCGCCACCAGCGCCCGCAAUUCAAAAUCAUCGACAUCCUGCAUUGCUUCGUUUUCUUCCAGGCAAUGCCAGC
rnacentral:misc_RNA from 1 species